UACGUAGGGCGCAAGCGUUGUCCGGAAUUAUUGGGCGUAAAGAGCUCGUAGGCGGUUUGUCGCGUCGGGAGUGAAAUCCACUGGCUUAACUGGUGGCUUGCUUUCGAUACGGGCAGACUGGAGGUAUGCAGGGGAGAACGGAAUUCCUGGUGUAGCGGUGAAAUGCGCAGAGUAUCAGGAGGAACACCAAUGGCGAAGGCAGCUCGCUGGAACGGUACUGACGCGUGAGGCGCGAAAGCUGGGGAG
rnacentral:rRNA from 1 species